GGCUCAGUGGCAGAGGAUCUUCAUCUGCUUUCAAUGCAUAGGAUUUCUUUCUGAUUGUGCAGAUAAUGCCUGUUCGACUCGGGCCUGAGCCA